rnacentral:rRNA from 1 species
UACGGAGGAUGCAAGCGUUAUCCGGAAUGAUUGGGCGUAAAGCGUCCGCAGGUGGCUAUGUAAGUCUGCUGUUAAAGAGUGAGGCUCAACCUCAUAAAAGCAGUGGAAACUACAAGGCUAGAGUGCGUUCGGGGCAGAGGGAAUUCCUGGUGUAGCGGUGAAAUGCGUAGAUAUCAGGAAGAACACCGGUGGCGAAAGCGCUCUGCUAGGCCGCAACUGACACUGAGGGACGAAAGCUAGGGGAGCGAAUGGG